UACGUAGGGUGCGAGCGUUGUCCGGAAUUAUUGGGCGUAAAGAGCUCGUAGGCGGUUUGUCGCGUCGGCCGUGAAAACUUGGGGCUUAACCCCGAGCCUGCGGUCGAUACGGGCAGACUUGAGUUCGGCAGGGGAGACUGGAAUUCCUGGUGUAGCGGUGAAAUGCGCAGAUAUCAGGAGGAACACCGAUGGCGAAGGCAGGUCUCUGGGCCACUACUGACGCUGAGAAGCGAAAGCAUGGGGAGCGAACAGG
rnacentral:rRNA from 1 species